rnacentral:lncRNA from 1 species
CAGGAUUACUGUCCACAAACAAACAAACAGCACCAAAACUCCCAACAAUAAGAACAACAGAAAUCCCACCUAAGGCACCAAAGGCUUGGUGAGCAUGGAUGCAUGGCAAAACUGCCUCCUGAAGGCCAGAAGAAAGGAUUUCUCUCCUGUUUUCACCCACUCCCUGUGCCUCCUGACUGACCCCGGUGCUUCCCCCAUGGCUCUGCAGAUCUUGGUGUGCCCACUCCUCUUGGGAACUAACAGAGGGAAUUUCCUGGAAGGCAGGGUCUGUGUUCAUCUCCCACAGAGCAUAGAGCACAGUGGAUGCUGAGGAAAUGGUGAAUGCUGGAAAGGAGCAACAGGAUGCCAAGGCCAGAAGUUCACCUUUGUGACCAAACUGGCUGAAACUGGUGAGAUGCAAGACGGCAGCUCACUUGACCUCCAAAGAACCUCUAACUUCAUUAUAAUAUAAUUUCCUUGCUAAAUGACACUCCCAUCAGUGUCAUGACAGUUGACAUUGCCAUGACAAUGGCCAGAAGAAACCAUAAAGGGACAAAAAGGAAGGUAGUAACUCUGGUUCCAAGGAGUUCUCCCAUUUCCAGAAAAGACAUGGAUAUUCCUCCCCUUGCUUUUAAUGCCCAACUUUUUCAUUAAAGAUGAAGCCUGUAUCUAUGGUUUCCCAGCUCUCAGGAGCUGAGAAGUUGAUUUGUGAGCCAAACUCCCACUUCUCAAUAAAGGCCGUCGAAUAAAGCA